CGCGGCCUAUCAGCUUGUUGGUGAGGUGAUGGCCUACCAAGGCGACGACGGGUAGCCGGCCUGAGAGGGCGACCGGCCACACUGGGACUGAGACACGGCCCAGACUCCUACGGGAGGCUGCAGUGGGGAAUAUUGCACAAUGGGCGGAAGCCUGAUGCAGCGACGCCGCGUGAGGGAUGACGGCCUUCGGGUUGUAAACCUCUUUCAGCAGGGACGAAGCGUAAGUGACGGUACCUGCAGAAGAAGCGCCGGCCAACUACGUGCCAGCAGCCGCGGUAAGACGUAGGGCGCGAGCGUUGUCCGGAUUUAUUGGGCGUAAAGAGCUCGUAGGCGGCUUGUCGCGUCGACUGUGAAAACCCGCAGCUCAACUGCGGGCCUGCAGUCGAUACGGGCAGGCUAGAGUUCGGUAGGGGAGACUGGAAUUCCUGGUGUAGCGGUGAAAUGCGCAGAUAUCAGGAGGAACACCGGUGGCGAAGGCGGUUCUCUGGGCAUUACCUGACGCUGAGGAGCGAAAGUGUGGGGAGCGAACAGGAUUAGAUACCCUGGUAGUCCACACCGUAAAACGUUGGGCGCUAGGUGUGGGGGGCCUCUCCGGUUCCCUGUGCCCGCAUCUAACGCGUUAAGCGUCCCCGCCUGGGGGAUUAGGGA
rnacentral:rRNA from 1 species